UAAUAAGAAGUUCGUGGCUGCUUAAUCCUGCAUUGUGCGACAAAUUCUACAUAACCACCUCUCACCUUAUCCUGUGCCACCAUCGUUUUUCUUAAGCUGCCCAAGUUUCUAUUUUUAAUGGCAAUUAACCCUUGAAAAUACCCCAUGAUUUUCUAUGUGUCAGCCACACACGGCCUUUGAUAUUUAGCUUUUCUGAUGCAAAAUAUGAAUUCUUCU